AAUCAUCAACAUGCUUUGGGUGCAUUGUUUGUGGAUCACAUGAAAACUCCACAUUUAAGUGUGCUUAGGUGGGGGUAGUACGAAGAUGGGUUGCCUCAUGGGAGGUCUCAAUCGGUACAAC
rnacentral:rRNA from 1 species